rnacentral:rRNA from 1 species
UACGGGGGGAGCAAGCGUUGUUCGGAUUUACUGGGCGUAAAGGGCGCGUAGGCGGCGUGACAAGUCACUUGUGAAAUCUCCGGGCUUAACUCGGAACGGUCAAGUGAUACUGUCGUGCUAGAGUACAGAAGGGGCAACUGGAAUUCUCGGUGUAGCGGUGAAAUGCGUAGAUAUCGAGAGGAACACCUGCGGCGAAGGCGGGUUGCUGGGCUGAUACUGACGCUGAGGCGCGAAAGUGUGGGGAGCGAACAGG